rnacentral:rRNA from 1 species
AUUGAGAGUUUGAUCCUGGCUCAGGACGAACGCUGGCGGCGUGCUUAACACAUGCAAGUCGAGCGAUGAAGUUCCUUCGGGAAUGGAUUAGCGGCGGACGGGUGAGUAACACGUGGGUAACCUGCCUCAUAGAGGGGAAUAGCCUUUCGAAAGGAAGAUUAAUAC